AAUUUUAAAUUUUAGCAAAGACCUUUGUCUUGACUUCAUAAUCGGUGAACAAAAUACAAAGGUUGGCCUCCUUGUGUACACACCAGCGGCUGAAUAUCUCUUUCAUCUGAAUAGCUACGUAAAAAAGAAAGAUUUGUUGGAAGCCAUUGACUCUGUAUCAAAGUGCCAAGCGUUACCAACCAGAAGCCCACACUUUCUAACGCGUCUUCGGUCCAUGUUUAUAGUGGAGAAUGGCGAUCGUAAAGCUGUUACCAACGUGGUUCUAAUGAUUAUUUUAGAAGCUUUACUUAUCAACAUGACUGAUUUUAAACGUGAAACAGAUCUGGCCAUGAAAGAAGGAAUAUCUAUUUAUAUAUACAAUUUUCGUUGGUUUAAAUCACAUCAAUAUUUUAAAUGACUUUGUCACGCGACCAGUAGAAGACAAAACAUUCAUGAUAAAGGGUCUCUCAGAAUGGAAGGAAGUCAGUAAAAAAAUUGUUACCGUUUUAGGUUCCAUGACACAUCAGUCUGAGAGAAAUUUUGUAACUUCUAAAAAACUGACAAACAGGCAUGGACUUCCCAGAGUGUUCUAUCCCAAGUGACACCAGUCCUUUCCUACCUAAAUACACUACAGACCAUCGACACACUUCCCAGUGCCGGCCCAAGUCCUCAACACAGUUCAUAUAUAGCACACAGAAUGUUCUCUCAAGUCAAGACAGCCCAGAAUGCAAUCACUUUAGCCGGAUCCACAACAGUCCUUCUUCAUGUCUUAUAUCAACAUGUCUUCUCAUGUGUUCAAUGGUGUUCUCAUGUGUUCAAUGGUGUUCUCAUGUGUUCUCAU